ensembl:lncRNA
UUCAUAUUUCUUGGUAAAACAACCGAUGUCUAGCGACAUGAACAAGGCCCCGGCGGAACUGAUGUAUGCCGUAGUCCCCAAACAAAGCAUUCAUUGAUUACGCUCCGUCUGCCGACCACAUAUUUUGCCCAGCGUCUAGAAGACAGAACAGUGUCAAUAAAAGUCCGGACUAGGGUUUCAAGUACGCAAGCCGGUACUUGCGUGGCGAUCUCCAUGUAACCGGUAGGCCUGUAUAUAAUUAAACACUGUUACUUCUGGCCUUUAGCCACCAUAGCCUGGGUAAAUAUUAUUGAAUCCUGACAUAUGAAUCCGGCACAUGGUGACAAAUAGCAGCAGGAGAAAGGCAGACGACGGCAACAACAAAAGCCGGGGAGCAACAAAAGCGCCUGGAUCCCGGAGGAGGAGGAUGGAGAGGGGGAGUCGUCCCAAAUCUGCCCCGUGCGUGACGUCACGAGAUUUCCUCCUCCCGAACAAGCGGCAGCUGGAGCCUGGAGCUGGCGGAGCCGCAUAGGGUCCGUCGCUGCAAUACAUGUCUGGACCGGGUACCACAGUCAGGCACGAUGGAUACACCACCACCACCGUCUCUCCUCAGUUUCUACCGCUGACUGCACCGACCACCGCUACAUCCCGAGGUCGCCUGCCGCGGCGGAUGCUCUAGCGGCCGAGAGAGACAAGAGGCUGAGCAUCCAACAGAGCACCUCCGGAAACAAGAGAAGAGAAAUAACAUAAUAGCGGAGAGGGAGAGAGAAUACAGAAUACAAAGAGGGUGAGAGAAAGGGAGGGAAAGAAAGAGAAAUUGUUGAGAAAGUGAGCCAAGCACAGGGGACAAGGAUUCUUAACUCCCCUCACCUGCAGACCUGGAGAGAGAGAGAGAGAGAGAGAGAGAGAGAGAGAGAGAGAGAGAGAGAGAGAGAGAGAGAGAGAG